rnacentral:rRNA from 1 species
GAUGAACGCUGGCGGCGUGCCUAAUACAUGCAAGUCGAGCGAACGGACGAGAAGCUUGCUUCUCUGAUGUUAGCGGCGGACGGGUGAGUAACACGUGGAUAACCUACCUAUAAGACUGGGAUAACUUAGGGAAACCGUAGCUAAUACCGGAUAAUAUUUUGAACCGCAUGGUUCAAAAGUGAAAGACGGUCUUGCUGUCACUUAUAGAUGGAUCCGCGCUGCAUUAGCUAGUUGGUAAGGUAACGGCCUACCAAGGCAACGAUGCAUAGCCGACCUGAGAGGAUGAUCGGCCACACUGGAACUGAGACACGGUCCAGACUCCUACGGGAGGCAGCAGUAGGGAAUCUUCCGCAAUGGGCGAAAGCCUGACGGAGCAACGCCGCGUGAGUGAUGAAGGUCUUCGGAUCGUAAAACUCUGUUAUUAGGGAAGAACAUAUGUGUAAGUAACUGUGCACAUCUUGACGGUACCUAAUCAGAAAGCCACGGCUAACUACGUG